rnacentral:rRNA from 1 species
UACGGGGGGGGCAAGCGUUGUUCGGAAUUACUGGGCGUAAAGGGCUCGUAGGCGGCCAACUAAGUCGGAUGUGAAAUCCCCAGGCUUAACCUGGGAACUGCAUCCGAUACUGGAUGGCUUGAAUCCGGGAGAGGGGAGCAGAAUUCCCAGUGUAGCGGUGAAAUGCGUAGAUAUUGGGAGGAAUACCGGUGGCGAAGGCGGCUCCCUGGACCGGUACUGACGCUGAGGCGCGAAAGCGUGGGUAGCAAACAGG